GACGAAGGAUGCAAGCGUUAUCCGGAUUCAUUGGGUUUAAAGGGAGCGUAGGCGGCCUUGUAAGUCAGUGGUGAAAUCUUCCCGCUUAACGGGAAAACUGCCAUUGAUACUGCUUGGCUAGAGUACAGAUGCUGUGGGCGGAAUAUGACAUGUAGUGGUGAAAUACAUAGAGAUGUCAUAGAACACCGAUUGCGAAGGCAGCUCACAAAACUGUAACUGACGCUGAGGCUCGAAAGUGUGGGGAUCAAACAGG
rnacentral:rRNA from 1 species